GAGGACCGAACCGACUAAUGUUGAAAAAUUAGCGGAUGACCUGUGGCUGGGGGUGAAAGGCCAAUCAAACCGGGAGAUAGCUGGUUCUCCCCGAAAGCUAUUUAGGUAGCGCCUCGUGAACUCAUCUUCGGGGGUAGAGCACUGUUUCGGCUAGGGGGCCAUCCCGGCUUACCAACCCGAUGCAAACUGCGAAUACCGGAGAAUGUUAUCACGGGAGACACACGGCGGGUGCUAACGUCCGUCGUGAAGAGGGAA
rnacentral:rRNA from 1 species